ensembl:lncRNA
GCCUUUCCCAGCGCCCAUCUGAACCUCCUCAGCCACGGGAAUCGAAGUGGUGUGUAUCUAAGCUGUAAGUUAGAGUUAUUUCUCAGACCCCAAUUCAAUCAAAUCUCCUGAGACCUUUCGCGUGGCUCUUUCUGGGACAUGACGAGCUUUCAGUGCUGGCCUCCCCCCUUUUAAUUUUUUUUUCAUUGUCAUCAACCUUUUUUGGUUUUGAUUGGAGUAUAAUUGAUGUGCCCUGUUCUACUGUCGGAAACCUUUGAUUUUUAAAAACGAGAACAAAUAAAAGCCACCCUAAAAUGAUUUUUUUUUUUUUUGGAAGGCAGCUCCAUCUCUACCCUGCUUCCUGCACCUGGUGGGGGACGAGUGCUUCUCCGCCCUUCAGGAAACAGCCCACUUGUCAGCAGCUGGGCUCCCGGGAACAAAGGCCUAGGUUCAUUACCACGGAAUCGACCCUGACACGUUGCACGAGGGCCACCUCCCCCAGAGUUCCUCAAUUCACACCCCAAAUGAAGCGUAAUUGGACCUGGACAUCUUUGAAGUCCCCGAGCAGCUUGCCAGCAUUUUGAAAUGUCCUUGAUUUGCAUGGUGAAAACCCGGCUGGAGGUGACUUUUUCUUUCCCCUCGUCCCACGGUUUUAAAGACAGUGUGAUUUUUAAAUGACAUUCCGCAGCCAGGAAGAGUUACCAUGGAAGAAAUAAAAACGCUUCACGCCAGAAAAGAAAAGGCAACUGAAGUCCGGGGAUCUCACGAAUCUCUCAUUUGCCUCUUGGCUCGGGUUUUGUUCUGUGCGGGCCAAUGUUCCAGGCUGCGGUUUCCUCUCAGGCUUCUCCCCAGGUCCCCGACCUGGGGGCAUGACAAGGAGCCAGGACCUGGAGCUUCCGAAGGCCAGCAGGUCGCCGUCAGACCUGAAGCCAGAAAACCAGCCCCGCCACCGGCUGGUGUCAAAGAGGUGGCAGAGCCGGGCGUGGAAUGCAGGUAUCCUAACUCCCAGCUGAGUCUUCUGACAAACUUGCCUGCUUCCUCAUCUCACAGCUCCCUGAACAGCCACUUGUAUUGAGUCACGUUUUUUCAAAAGCACAUUUGGAAGAGUGGCCCCUCUGUGCAGAAGAACAGCCACCGAGAGGAAGAACAGCCAAGAUGGAUGGGUUGAAAAGGGCCGCGUCUUCCAGCGCCCUCCACAUCUGUCUCUCAUCUCAGGACUCCGAUGGUCCCCACUGGCCUUUUCCAUGAUGUCUGGAGUUGUCAAAUGUGUCGAAAAGCAGAGAGAUCCGUGGAGGAAAAUCCGGGGAAGAUUUUCGCCUGGAAAUCUCCUGGGUUCUCGGGGACCUGUCCUAGAGGAAGUGAGUAGGUAGAAACGUAUCCUGUUGGCCCUGGAAGGGAUCUUGGAGGACACCUAGCCCAGCCCGGGGAGCUGAAAGGCAGGAUCACCUGGUGGUGGGGAGCACCCAUGUAGAGCCAGACAGCCCCAGGUUGAAGCACUUCUCCGGCACUUAACUAGCUGCGUGGCCUUGGGCAAGUUUGCUAACCUCUGCCUCGGUUUCCUCAUCUGUCAAAUGGGGCUAGUGAUCACUGUCCCGAUUACUGUAGCGGGGAUGAAGGGAAUGGACAUACAUCGAGCACGAGGAACAACGCAGAGCAGACGGGAAGUGUUUGGUAAGAGGAAGAAAUGAGGCUCAGAGAGAAGCAACCUCCCCACGGUCACUCAGGGAGUUGUCAAGCCGAGCUGGACUCGGAGAACAAGAGGAGAGGUUAUGACUCUUGGAAAUCCUGACUAAUAACUGUGUCUUUGCCUGCGUUACAUCAUCCUCGCUCAACACUUGGAGACGGCCCGAGCGCGGAAGGCAGCCCGGCACAUUCUAGUCUAGGCGCGUUGUCGACAGUGGCCCUCCUGGUCAUUAGUUUGGGGCUGGCUGGUCUCUGGGGCUCCUGUUGGCACUAAGGUUUUAUCAUUUGAAAUUAGGGUCUGUAGCUUCCAUUCAGGUCAAGUCUGUCUUUUCCUGCAACAUUCUCUUCACUGCCCCCCAACCACCCCCACCACCUCCAGCCAUUUCCCUCUGACAUUUUGCCCAACUGUAUCCUGAGGGCAUCAACAUCCUUCUUUCCA